UACAGAGGGGGCAAGCGUUGUUCGGAAUUACUGGGCGUAAAGCGCACGUAGGCGGCUUUGUAAGUUAGAGGUGAAAGCCCGGAGCUCAACUCCGGAACUGCCUUUAAAACUGCAUCGCUUGAAUCCAGGAGAGGUGAGUGGAAUUCCGAGUGUAGAGGUGAAAUUCGUAGAUAUUCGGAAGAACACCAGUGGCGAAGGCGGCUCACUGGACUGGUAUUGACGCUGAGGUGCGAAAGCGUGGGGAGCAAACAGG
rnacentral:rRNA from 1 species